rnacentral:rRNA from 1 species
GGGGCUAAAACAUGCAAGUCGAACGCUUCUUUUUCCACCGGAGCUUGCUCCACCGGAAAAAGAGGAGUGGCGAACGGGUGAGUAACACGUGGGUAACCUGCCCAUCAGAAGGGGAUAACACUUGGAAACAGGUGCUAAUACCGUAUAACAAUCGAAACCGCAGGGUUUUGAUUUGAAAGGCGCUUUCGGGUGUCGCUGAUGGAUGGACCCGCGGUGCAUUAGCUAGUUGGUGAGGUAACGGCUCACCAAGGCGACGAUGCAUAGCCGACCUGAGAGGGUGAUCGGCCACAUUGGGACUGAGACACGGCCCAAACUCCUACGGGAGGCAGCAGUAGGGAAUCUUCGGCAAUGGACGAAAGUCUGACCGAGCAACGCCGCGUGAGUGAAGAAGGUUUUCGGAUCGUAAAACUCUGUUGUUAGAGAAGAACAAGGAUGAGAGUAACUGUUCAUCCCUUGACGGUAUCUAACCAGAAAGCCACGGCUAACUACGUGCCAGCAGCCGCGGUAAUACGUAGGUGGCAAGCGUUGUCCGGAUUUAUUGGGCGUAAAGCGAGCGCAGGCGGUUUCUUAAGUCUGAUGUGAAAGCCCCCGGCUCAACCGGGGAGGGUCAUUGGAAACUGGGAGACUUGAGUGCAGAAGAGGAGAGUGGAAUUCCAUGUGUAGCGGUGAAAUGCGUAGAUAUAUGGAGGAACACCAGUGGCGAAGGCGGCUCUCUGGUCUGUAACUGACGCUGAGGCUCGAAAGCGUGGGGAGCAAACAGGAUUAGAUACCCUGGUAGUCCACGCCGUAAACGAUGAGUGCUAAGUGUUGGAGGGUUUCCGCCCUUCAGUGCUGCAGCUAACGCAUUAAGCACUCCGCCCGGGGGAGUACGACCGCAAGGUUGAAACUCAAAGGAAUUGACGGGGGCCCGCACAAGCGGUGGAAGCAGGUGGUUUAAUUCGAAGCAACGCGAAAAACCUUACCAGGUCUUGACAUCCUUUGACCACUCUAGAAAAUAGAGCUUCCCCUUCGGGGGCAAAGUGACAGGGGGGUGCAUGGUUGUCCUCACCUCCGGUCCUGGAGAUGUUGGGGUUAAAUUCCCCGCACCCAAACGCCAACCCUUUUUUGUUAAUUCCCCACCUUUUAAUUUGG